UGGGGAAUAUUGGACAAUGGGCGAAAGCCUGAUCCAGCGACGCCGCGUGGAUGACGAAGGCCUUCGGGUUGUAAAGUCCUUUCAGUAGGGAAGAUAAUGACGGUACCUACAGAAGAAGCUCCGGCUAACUUCGUGCCAGCAGCCGCGGUAAUACGAAGGGAGCUAGCGUUACUCGGAAUUAUUGGGCGUAAAGCGUGCGUAGGCGGUUUUGUAAGUUAGAAGUGAAAGCCUGGGGCUCAACCCUAGAACUGCUUUUAAUACUGCAUUACUAGAGUACCAGAGAGGAUAGCGGAAUUCCUAGUGUAGGAGUGAAAUCCGUAGAUAUUAGGAGGAACACCGGUGGCGAAGGCGGCUAUCUGGCUGGUUACUGACGCUGUUGCACGAAAGCGUGGGGAGCAAACA
rnacentral:rRNA from 1 species